rnacentral:snRNA from 1 species
AGAGGCGAGGGCGAUCUGGAUGUGACAUUUGUCACGCAUUGAUUGCCAAAGUUGGUUUGGCUGAUCUGGCAGGCUAGGUGAGUGUCCCCUUCAUCCCUCACCACUGUAUGUGUGUCCCCCCGACCCACAAUGACCCAAGUGUGCACUAGGUCAAAGAGGAUGACUAUCCCUGAUAGAGGAGGACUGUUCACCAAGGGUAUAACGAGUAGCUGUGCUCCCCUGCUAGAACCUCCAAACAAUCUCCCAAGAAAUAACGGAAAUGUCUCAGUGCUGUGACUGAAAUACACAUAGAGAAUAAAUUACAUUUUCUUUUGUGU